ACCUGACCAGGCUCGAACUACAGGGUAAACCAACAUCAGCCAAUGUUGUUAUAAUGCCACCCAAAUCCUAACCUAAUGAAGAGAAAAAUAAGGACAUUGUCUUGCUUGCACAGAUAAAACCAAAAUUCCAGGGUCUCCACAUGAGAAUUGGAGGGAGUUUGAGAAGAAAGUGAGAGAAAUGAUAGAGGAAAAACUGAAGACGGAUCUUAGGAAGACAGAGGUGGAACGCCCACAGAACUUAGAAAUCUUUCCCCGGCCCGGGUAACCAACCCAGGUCGAUAGUGGUAAAAUUCCUGAGGUAUAAGAACAAGGCGGCUGUUAUGGAGAGAGCCAAGAAUUCGGGAGUUACAAACAUCUUCUUCAACGAGGACUACCCCAAAGCUGUGCGCCAAAGACGUAAAUAACUAACUCCAGCCAUCAAGGGAGCCAGAGAGCAAGGGAACGUCGUCUACAUUUGCAACCACAAGCUCAUUGUCCACCCUCACACCCGAAAACCUGAAAAGGGCAUACCCAUUGGUUUUGUAGUGGAGGGAAGCUUCAACAGAAAGCCAGAGGAGUGAGUCGAUGAGCGCGGUGACAUCGGAGAACUUGUACAGGCUGAACACUAAGUGGACUACGGCAUUCUAGAAAGGAACCUAUAAAGGCUCAGCUGUUAGUUGUCAACAAACAAACUGUUUAAAGAUGAGGUCAAGUGCACUGCCUGCCUUGGUAGUGUGAGGGAACUGGGAAAGGUCAUAAACGGAAACAAGAUUUCAGCUGAGGGCAGCCCUUCUCUUCUGUCAGGCAUAAACUGCAGUGGGCAUCCAUUUUGUUUUAUAAUUCUUCUAUUCAGUCUGUGAAUCACCAGGUAUGUCUCUUUCCACACAUUUAGAAUUCAGUUCUUUGUUAUUCAAAACUGCUUUGCUGUCAUGCCCUACAUUUGAGACGUGAAGUUUGAGAAGGUGAGCAAUGUUUUCUAAGUUAAAAGUGGGUUGCUAUUGUUUUGAACAAUGGUGAACCUGACAUUUCAUCUCUUAAUUUUGUUAUUUAGAUAUUAAUUUUGUCACUCUUCUUGUUUAUGUGGUCACGUUUAAAUAUUAUCUCUGAAUCUAUAGUGGGAAAUACUUUUUAAUUAGAACCAUUAUAAAAAGUAUUAAUUACAUUUUCUUUUCUUUUCUGGGAAGUCCAGCUACAAUUACUGCACCAACAUUGCUCUUACUUUAGGCUGGAAUGGACAACUGACAUUGACAGCAAGGAAUUCAAAAGAAGACAAAGACACGUGACUAAAGCAGAAGACACAAAAUCUCCACUUAGAAGAUAUGAGUAGCCCGAUGACGCCACCACUGCCACGACCAGACGUUCUCAGACUGUGGGAAAACACAGUCAGAUGAAGAAAGAGCAGCUGGAGUAGCAGUUUUUUCUGGGGUUAUCCAGGUCUGCCAAAACGUAAUGGUCUGAAGGACAGCAGAGCCCUUGACAAAAGACUGAGUUCCAUAUGCUGCCAGGGACCAGGUUCUGUGGGGAGAGAAUAUGAGGGUUUCAGCCGAGGAUGGGUAGCAACCCAGGCCAAAAAAGAUAGUCAGACAGGGACAGAAACCAAAAAUUUGACAGAGCUAAAAAGCACAUGUCAAGAAUAGUUUUUAUUUAUUAAUGUAUUUUUUUAAGCCAUGACAUGAUCCUCAAGUGUGAUAGUGGCACAGGACCGUAUCCUCUUCCUCAAACUUGGUACUCCACAGAACUAUCUUGGUUUCAGACGGCUGCAACUUCACAUCAAAUUACACUAAUUACAGCGAGACACAUAUAAUAAUAAUAAUACAGCCACGAUUGACAAACUCAGCAGGUGCACUGGUCACAUUGCAGUUUGUUUGGUUGUUCACAUUUAAAUGAGCGAGGUGUGAUGAAAGGGUCAAGCUCAAAUGUCUUUUGCAAUGAAUUCCAGUUAUCUCUGACUGGAAUGAAUGACGACCAAAGAAACUGUGUAAUGUCAGCUUCUUAUUAGUUCAUUUUAUUUGGGUUUUCACUUGUGUUAUUUAUUAUACCUUUAUUGUCCACUUGCUUUGUCAAUGUAAACAACUUUUUUC